CCGUUACUGAAUAAUGAGUUUGGUGGUGUCUGUGUCAUUGACACUGCACCUUCUCACCCCCUCCCAAGGGAGCCAUUAGGAUCCAGCAACAACACCAUGAUGAUAAUGGAUGAAAUCUCUGAACUGGCCAGAGAGAUGGCUUGGGGGUGAAGAGCACUGACUACUCUUCCAGGACCAAGAUUUGAUUCUCAGCACUUGAACAACUAGCAGUACACGCCUGUCUGUAACUCAAGUUCAACAUUUCUGAUGCCCUCUUAUAGCCUCCAAGACACCAGGCACGGUUCUCAUGUUGGCUCUGAAUCUGAUAUGUAAAUGAGGAUGACCCUGAACUCCUGACCCUUCUGCCUGUCUCUCCUCAAUGCUAAGGCUACAAGCAUGUGCCACCAUACGCUGUCUAUGAAGUACAACAUGCCCGGUUUAUGCAGUGCUGGGGACUGAACUCAGCGCUUCAUUCAUUAAAGGCAAGUACUCUACCAACUAAGCUA